rnacentral:rRNA from 1 species
GAUGAACGCUGGCGGCGUGCCUAAUACAUGCAAGUCGAGCGAAGCGGGGACGGGUGAGUAACACGUGGAUAACCUCCUAAAAGACUGGGAUAACUACGGGAAACCGGAGCUAAACCGGAUAAUUAAAGAUGGAUCUGCGAUGCAUUAGCUAGUUGGUAAGGUAACGGCUUACCAAGGCAACGAUGCAUAGCAGACCUGAAAGGGUGUUCGGCCACACUGGAACUGGAACCCGGUCCAGACUCCUACGGGAGGCAGCAGUAGGGAAUCUUCCGCAAUGGGCGAAAGCCGAACGGGGCAACGCCGCGGGAGUGAUGAAGGUCUUCGGAUCGUAAAACUCUGUUAUUAGGGAAGCGGUACCUAAUCAGAAAGCCACGGCUAACUACGUGCCAGCAGCCGCGGUAAUAC